rnacentral:misc_RNA from 1 species
GAUGAAGAACGUAGCGAAAUGCGAUAACUAAUGUGAAUUGCAGAAUUCCGUGAAUCAUCGAGUCUUUGAACGCACAUUGCGCCCCCUGGUAUUCCGGGGGGCAUGCCUGUCCGAGCGUCAUUUGUACCCUCAAGCUUUGCUUGGUGUUGGGUGUUUGUCCCGCGCUCUUUUGCGCAAGACUCGCCUUAAAUCAAUUGGCAGCCGGCAUGUUAGCCUGGAGCGCAGCACAUUUUGCGCCCCUUGCUUGCUUGUGUUGGCCCCCAUCAAGUCCAUAUAUUUGCUCUUGACCUCGGAUCAGGUAGGGAUACCCGCUGAACUUAAGCAUAUCAAUAAGCGGAGGA